rnacentral:rRNA from 1 species
UACGUAGGGGGCUAGCGUUAUCCGGAAUUACUGGGCGUAAAGGGUGCGUAGGUGGUUUCUUAAGUCAGAAGUGAAAGGCUACGGCUCAACCGUAGUAAGCUUUUGAAACUAAGAGACUUGAGUGCAGGAGAGGAGAGUAGAAUUCCUAGUGUAGCGGUCAAAUGCGUAGAUAUUAGGAGGAAUACCAGUUGCGAAGGCGGCUCUCUGGACUGUAACUGACACUGAGGCACUAAAGCGUGGGGAGCAAACAGG